rnacentral:rRNA from 1 species
GCUUAUGACCACACCGGCCUGAGUACGCCUGAUCUCGUCUGAUCUCGGAAUCUAAGCAGGGUCGGGCCUGGUUAGUCCUUGGAUGGGAGACCUCCUGGGAAUACCAGGUGCUGUAAGCU